GGAGGCUUUAGCUUAAUUAAAGUGCCUGAGUUGCAUUCAGGAGAUGUGCGUUAAGGUUGUACAGGUCUUC
rnacentral:tRNA from 1 species